CCCCGCAUAAGCAGUGACCUUCAGUUCUCCUCUGUCAGCCUGGAACGAGUAGGCAUUCCUCUGAGCACACCAAUACCUUUUCUGAUGCUCUGAAAUGACUCCUUGUUGUCUCAAGCAAGAUUUCAAAGUAAUGCGCUGUAGUUUUUCAUGUUUACAAAUCCUAUGACUCUGUUUGGCCCCUACGCUUGGAUUACCACACCUAUUUCAUUCGGUACCUUACUUGAAAAGGUGAGACACUCUGCAAUCAAAACUAAUGCAGUACCUUUUGACCUCAUGGACGAUGUUUGCACAGCUCAAGCUCUGGCACCACACAGAGAUGCCAUUGACCUCCCAAAAAAACAACGGGGAAGUUUUGCACAGAUGUACCUGUAAGCGUGCAGAAUUGAAUAGUAAAUUGCAAGAGUAUGGAGAGCCUCUGUGAUUACAGCCUGUAAUUUUUAAUACACGCAACAGAAAAAGGGAAGCAAUCAGCCAAGGAUCUGCUGCAGUAGAGCCAGCAAGACCAAGCAAAGGCUUUGGUGAGAACCUCCACCAAUGAGCCAGAUAACACUUCUGCUAUAAACCAGGCUGAUAGAUUUUUCUCUAUGAAACAAGAACUGUUUAUUCCUGCAGUCAUUUCCCGCACAGAACACUCUAUGCGGUUGACCUACCUGAGUGAAGUUCAGUGCUACGCGUCACACUGGAACGGACAGCUCUGCAGCCCAUGUGGCACGGUGGUUUUGUCCUCUGGCUUCUCUGCUACAGUCCCGACAGGGCCAAGGAACAAAGGAAACUGCCGUUACCGUCAGGCAGGGCCAUUAUGAGAUUGGAAGGGGAAAGCUGGGGGUGAGGGAGGCACUGCCAGGCUCUGGGGGGAAUAUGAUGCACGUGUGCAGCACCUACUAAAUAUAGCACUGGAAGCUGCAAGCAUGAAUACAUUUUCUGCACUGCUACCCAGUGAGAGAAACUGACAUUAAACUGAGGU
ensembl:lncRNA